ACGCUCGACACCUACGGGAGCAGCAGUGGGGAAUAUUGCACAAUGGGGGAAACCCUGAUGCAGCGACGCCGCGUGAGCGAAGAAGUAUUUCGGUAUGUAAAGCUCUAUCAGCAGGGAAGAAACUGACGGUACCUGACUAAGAAGCACCGGCUAAAUACGUGCCANNCGCGGUAUAUNAGCGGCGUGCGAG
rnacentral:rRNA from 1 species